AGUGGGAUAACUGGGUCAGAUGGUGGUUUCAUUCCAAGUUUUCUGAGGAAUCUCUAAACUGCUUUCCAGAGUGAUUGCACCAAUUUGCAGUCCCACCAGCAAU
rnacentral:pre_miRNA from 1 species